CUGGCGCGUGCCUAAUACAUGCAAGUGAACCUGAAGGAGAGCUUGCUUCUCUGAUGAUGCGAACGGUGAGUAACGCGUAGGUAACCUGCCUGGUAGCGGGGGAUACUAUUGGAAACGAUAGCUAAUACCGCAUAAGAGUAGAUGUUCAUACAUUUGCUUAAAAGGUGCAAUUGCAUCACUACCAGAUGGACUGCGUUGUAUUAGCUAGUUGGUGAGGUAACGGCUCCCAAGGCGACGAUACAUAACCGACCUGAGAGGGUGACGGCCACACUGGGACUGAGACACGGCCCAGACUCCUACGGGAGGCAGCAGUAGGGAAUCUUCGGCAAUGGACGGAAGUCUGACCGAGCAACGCCGCGUGAGUGAAGAAGGUUUUCGGAUCGUAAAGCUCUGUUGUAAGAGAAGAACGAGUGUGAGAGUGGAAAGUUG
rnacentral:rRNA from 1 species